rnacentral:tRNA from 1 species
CGGGGUGUAGCGCAGCUGGGAGCGCGCGUGCUUUGGGAGCAUGAGGUCGCAGGUUCGAUCCCUGUCACCCCGACCA